rnacentral:rRNA from 1 species
GGGCCCGCACAAGCGGUGGAGCAUGUGGUUUAAUUCGAUGCAACGCGAAGAACCUUACCAGGCCUUGACAUCUAGCGAACUUUCCAGAGAUAGAUUGGUGCCUUCGGGAACCGAGUGACAGGUGGUGCAUGGCUGUCGUCAGCUCGUGUCGUGAGAUGUUGGGUUAAGUCCCGCAACGAGCGCAACCCACGUCUUUAGUUGCCAGCAUUUAGUUGGGCACUCUAGAGAGACCGCCGGUGAUAAACCGGAGGAAGGUGUGGAUGACGUCAAGUCAUCAUGCCCCUUACAUCCUGGGCUACACACGUACUACAAUGGCAGUGACAAUGAGAUGCUAAACAGCGAUGUUAAGCUAAACUCAAAAACCUGCCUCAGUUCGGAUUGCACUCUGCAACUCGAGUGCAUG